ACCGACGGGAGCUUGCUCCCUUAGGUCAGCGGCGGACGGGUGAGUAACACGUGGGUAACCUGCCUGUAAGACUGGGAUAACUCCGGGAAACCGGGGCUAAUACCGGAUGCUUGAUUGAACCGCAUGGUUCCAAUCAUAAAAGGUGGCUUUCAGCUACCACUUACUGAUGGACCCGCGGCGCAUUAGCUAGUUGGUGAGGUAACGGCUCACCAAGGCGACGAUGCGUAGCCGACCUGAGAGGGUGAUCGGCCACACUGGGACUGAGACACGGCCCAGACUCCUACGGGAGGCAGCAGUAGGGAAUCUUCCGCAAUGGACGAAAGUCUGACGGAGCAACGCCGCGUGAGUGAUGAAGGUUUUCGGAUCGUAAAACUCUGUUGUUAGGGAAGAACAAGUACCGUUCGAAUAGGGCGGCACCUUGACGGUACCUAACCAGAAAGCCACGGCUAACUACGUGCCAGCAGCCGCGGUAAUACGUAGGUGGCAAGCGUUGUCCGGAAUUAUUGGGCGUAAAGCGCGCGCAGGCGGUUUCUUAAGUCUGAUGUGAAAGCCCCCGGCUCAACCGGGGAGGGUCAUUGGAAACUGGGGAACUUGAGUGCAGAAGAGGAGAGUGGAAUUCCACGUGUAGCGGUGAAAUGCGUAGAGAUGUGGAGGAACACCAGUGGCGAAGGCGACUCUCUGGUCUGUAACUGACGCUGAGGCGC
rnacentral:rRNA from 1 species